rnacentral:rRNA from 1 species
UAGUGAGUUUGAUCCUGGCUCAGGAUGAACGCUGGCGGUCUGCUUAACACAUGCAAGUCGAACGCAAGUAGAAAUACUUGAGUGGCGGACGGGUGAGUAACGCGUGAGAAUAUGCCUUCUGGUCGGGGACAACCACUGGAAACGGUCGCUAAUACCCGAUGUGCCGCAAGGUGAAAGAUUUAUCGCCUUUGGAUGGGCCCGCGUAAGAUUAGGUAGUUGGUGGGGUAAUGGCCUACCAAGCCGACGAUCUUUAGCUGGUCUGAGAGGGUGACCGGCCAC